GCAGCCGCGGUAAUACGUAUGGGGCAAGCGUUAUCCGGAUUUACUGGGUGUAAAGGGAGCGUAGACGGUACGGCAAGCCCGAUGUGAAAACCCGCAGCUCAACUGCGGGAUUGCAUUAGGAACUGUCGAACUAGAGUGUCGGAGAGGUAAGUGGAAUUCCUAGUGUAGCGGUGAAAUGCGUAGAUAUUAGGAGGAACACCAGUGGCGAAGGCGGCUUACUGGACGAUGACUGACGUUGAGGCUCGAAAGCGUGGGGAGCAAACAGGAUUAGAUACCCC
rnacentral:rRNA from 1 species